CUCUUCCUGGCUUGCAGAAGGCUGUCUUCUUGCUGUGUCCACACAUUGUGGAAACAGGAAGUUCUGGUUCUGAAGGGGCCCAGGAAGAAACCUCCUCUUCCCCAGCUGAGUUGAGAACCAAGUGGAAGACAAAGAAGUUAGACAGCAGAUGAAAAAGUGACCUGCCUUGCACCUUGCCAGUUGGCUUGCUAGCUCUCCCCUGAUUUGAACUUCUGACAACAGAACAUGCUCCACCAAACUUACCAUGUGAAGGACAGCACAUGGGCAUUCUUUCUGAGACCUGCAAAGAAAACAAAGGGAGAGGCUAAGCAGACAAAGGAAAACUCUUUCUUCUCAAAUCAAUCAGAUAAUGAACUCCUGUUCCCUUUAGGAGAAAUGAGUGGGUGGGGAGAGAAAAGCAAGCAGUUGACCUCUGGAGGUCCUUAGACUUAAAAACAUAAAGCCCAAGGAAGAAAAUUCCUCCCCAGCAUUAACUUGGACCAGUAAUGUUUUUCUAUUUAUAUUCCAUAUGUAAAUAUGCCUGUGAGGUAUUAUGUAUUGUCUUUGUGCCUUUAAGUGCAUUUCUUUAAAAAAUCUGUAACUUUAAACUUAAAUAGAAAGGCACAAAAUGGAUUGUUAUUUUAUACAAUGGAGUUCUGAUAUUAAUUAUUGUUACUUCUCACAAAA
rnacentral:lncRNA from 1 species